CAACAACAAGUCUCCUUCGCCGCGCACCGGUGAACUGGAUAAUCGUGGGAGUCAGUUCUAUCUCGCGAUGUACUGGGCACAGGAGCUGGCGGCUCAGACUGAGGAUAAGUUUCUUCGGGAGCAGUUCAAGUCGCUGGCCGAAGCACUUACCCAAAGCGAACAAAAAAUUGUAGGGGAGCUUCAGGAAGUGCAAGGCAAACCGGUAGACAUCGGUGGCUACUAU
rnacentral:misc_RNA from 1 species